CAUAAAAAUAUGAUUUUAACGCAUAAACAAAAGGAAAAAUAUCUCAAGAAAAGCUGCAAAAUCUCAAAUAGGCCUCUUCUUUUAGCAAGUUUUCCUAGGCUUCGCUACUGAAAACAGGGGUUCAAAGUCCAAUUUGCUCCACCGCGAUAAAAAAUUAAAGAUGGUAUCCCAAUUCUAAAAUCACCACGUGUUCCAGAGCAGUUGAGCAGUUUAUAUUAUAGUAUACUUGGAUAUGAUAUUAUCUGUUCAAAAUCGUGUAGUUUGAUUACUGAGACUUCAAUAUAGAGGUACCAGAAAAGCGAAGUUUUUAGUUGGGUUAAUAUUUUGCCAACUGGACGUAGAUUGGUCAUCGGAAAAAGUGAUAUAAUCAAAAUCCGACGACGUUGUUGGUCAUUAAAAACCAACAACGUAUUUUUUUUAUUGAGAACCAACGACGUAUUUUGUCAUUGAGAACAAAUGACGUAUUUUAUCAUCAAGAAAGGUGACGUAUUUAAUUAUCGAGUAAAAUGACGUAAUUUAUUAUCAAGAACCGACGACGUAUGUUGUCAUUGGAAGCAUAUGACGUAUUUGAUCAUCAAGAAAAAUGACUUAUUUGAUCAUCGAGAACCAACGACGUAUUUGAUCAUCGAGAAAAAUGACGUAUUUGAUCAUCGAGAACCAACGACGUAUUUAAUCAUGGAGAACCAACGACGUAUUUUGUCAUCGAUAACCAACGACGUAUUUCAUCAUCAAGAACAUAUAAUGUAUUUGAUCAUUGAGAACCAACGCAGUAUUUGAUGAUCGAUAACCAACGACGUAUUUGAUCAUCAAGAACAUAUAAUGUAUUUGAUGGUCGAGAACCAACGCAGUAUUUGAUGAUCGAGAACAUAUGACGUAUUUGAUCAUCGAGAACCAACGACGUAUUUGAACAUCACGAACCAACGGCGUUUUGAUCAUCGAGAAGAAAUGACGUAUUUGAUCAUCGAGAACAAAUGAUGUCUUUUCUGACCAUGAAGCUGCUGUCUCCUGCUUACUAGUGUUUAUUAGAUUAAUCAAAAAUAUACUGCGUUACUCAGUCAAACCUGUAAAUAGUUAAAUUGCUAUACCUAUAUACACAAUGGAUGCUUUUACUCUCCCAUUAGUCGAAGUCAAAUUGUCUAAACAGGCCUUUGUGAGUACUCCCUUUAAAAGACUAUUGGCUUACGCUUAAGAAUUUGCCUAAACUUCUUAUGUCCAUUCUUUACGGCUUUGACUGACUUCAUAUUUUGUAUUGUACUUAAUUGUUUAACGAGGAGUGAAAAUUUGCAGAGCAUAGUUUGUGAGGUACGCAACUAAGAGGACUUGUGGAAGACUUGCGUUGGCGAAGAGCUUUUGCCAUUUUUUUUUUUUAAGGUAAGGCUUUUUAAUUAAGGUUUAAUAGGUGGCAGCGUCGCAUUGAAUAUAUUGCAGAAGUUGUGAGGCCACUGGCAUUAUGGUGACUAUCACUCUUAUGACCGUCUGGUUACGCAUGCGGGAGAGAUUAGGUUCGGAUUUUUAAAUUUACGUUUGCAUAUUGUUCGGUGGGUUUUUAAAAUCUUUGCAAUAUUUGCAUUCACGACAUUCAGUUUUUAAUACAAGAACGAUUUUUUAAAAAUGAAAAGUUUUACACGGUAAAUAAGUUUUUUA